rnacentral:lncRNA from 1 species
AGAAAGCAAGGCGCUUUCAUCACAGGCUGCGGGAGUCACCAACUGAAGAGACUCAAUGUCCUUGAAAGCACUUUUCUUUUUAUUAUGUUCAAAAUUCAGCAACGAAAACUGCUCGUCUUGCUUCUACGGAAGCUGUAAGGACGAGAAAGUGGAGCGCUGUCGCGGAAAGAGGCAGAAAUUUGGUGACACAAGAGCGAUCUCAGGACAGGGUGGAGCCAGGGAUCAGGACUGUGGUGCCCAGUCCCAGCUCAGCUAAGCCAAUGUGCGUCUUUGGCUUGAAUGGAGGUGCAAUAAAGCGAGGGCACUUUCUGCGAGAUCUGGAAGGACCCUUGGAACUGAUCUCAUCCUGCCUCCCUCUGGGAAGCCAGGGAAGGCCUGAGCCCUACGGGGUGAUGACAACCGGCCUCUGCCCAGGGCAUGCUGUCGAGGUCCUGGAGAGAUCUGUUUCCCUGGUCACACUGGGACAGUGUCAGCUCCCAUCCAUCUGGUCCUAAUUCUUGCUCCUAAUUCUGCCUCCUGGUUCGCAGAACCCAGAGACCCCUAGACAACAUGACAGGCACCACACUGAACGUGGGACUCACUUGAUCCCUUAUGUGUCCCUCUGAGGGGGGCUCAUGCUCACAUGCGAGGGAUCAGAGGCCCCAAGAAGGACAGGGACUUGCUGCCGGUCACACAGCUUAGGGCUGCAUGGUGGGUUAUGGAGUGAUCCCCCGCAAAUGGCACAGCCACACCCUAAUCUCUGGUACCUAACAAUGUGACCUUAUUUGGUUUCUGCAGAUGUAAUUAAGUUAAGGAUCUGGAGGCGUGAUCAUCUAGAUUUAAGGUGGACCCUAAAUCCAAUGGCUGUGUUUUCAUAAAAGAAAGGAGAAUGAGACAGAGACAGACACAGUAGGGAGGCCGCAUGAAGACAGAGGCAGAGACGGGAGCAGAGAGGCCACAAACCAGGGAAACCGGGAGCCACUGGGUGCUGGAAGAGGUGCCAGGACCCUCCCCUAGAGCCCCGCUCUGGUUGUGUAGCCGCUUCACAGGGACGCCUGCUUAGGGGACGAGGGGAAGAGGUAGAGGGUGGUCAGAGGCAUGGAAACAGGACAGGAGGACGCUGCCUGUUCAUCCACAGCCGUCCCCUUCUGGAAAGCCUUUCUGAAUGGGAAGGUGGGCUGCCUACCAUGAGCUGCAGUGACAGCCCCUCACAGCCACUGUCCUCCAGGCUGUCCCAGGAGGCACCUGAGCUCAUACAGAUCGGUGGUUUCCCACUCCCAGAGCCUCCGGGGGCUCGGUGCCCCUCUGCCCACUUUGUGUCCGGCUGAUCAGGAGGCUCACGUCGGCCUCCUCAGAGCAAAGCUCACCCACAUCCCAUGCAGGGAUGGGCAGGACCUGUGAGCCCACCCUGUGACAGGAAGGCCCCACAGUACAGAUACAGGGAGCCCCUCCAAUGGCAUGCACCACCAGGGUGCCAGAUCAGGCUAGACCAGUGGCCAGCACCCACCUGCAGCGCAGGCAGUCCUGAAAUCCUGUUUCCAAACCUCCUGAGCCCCUCUUCCCUGUAUGGCCUCCAGGCCGCCUCCCUCUGUCAGGAUUAAGCCCAGCUUUCUCAUGGAGACCGUGUCUGUCUCCAUCCCCGGCACCGUCUCCAUCCCCAGGCACCCUCACACUCACUCCCAGCUGCAUGGCCGCCACCCACCCAGCUGGGGUUUCCAUUAGGCCCUGUAGGUUCCCCACCUCGGUCUCCUUCAGUGGGUUCCUUCUACACUACUGAGGUCAGGGCCACAUCACAGUCAUUUCUGUGUGUCCAGGGCUGUGAACACGGAGCUGCCGCGGUCAGCAUUCCCUGUACAUGGAUGUAGGGUCAGGACCACUGUACCCUGUGGGGGCCUAGGUCACAGAGAAAUCCCAGGCCUUGUUCAGAGAUGGUGAAGGGUGCCCGGUGGCAACAGCAGGGUGUCCUCUGAGCCCCGGCACUUCUGAGCUCAGGGCUGAGUGACCACACAGGUAGCUGCUAUGGGCCCAGCCCUUCUGCAUCGUGCUGGGGGGAUGCGGGGGCUCUGUUGCCUUCUCGGGUCCCAGGGAGAUGUGCCUUCUGUGCCCACGUCUCAGCGGCUCCCACGGCGCAUCCAGUGAACUGGGAAGUGUGAAUGAGCACCUGCUCGGGCCAGUGAUUCAUCCGAG